UUAAGCAAUGAAUUCAGACUCGUUUUCAAUAAGCUCUGUAAUCAUAUUUAUAUGACAUUGUCAGAAAACGUCCUCAAAAUGCCAUAAAAUUUGCAAAAUCUCUGAGGAAUAUGAAAUCGGAAGUUGUGCGAGUCGUCCAAGUUUGCGCCAUUGUUUUCUUGGUUAUCACUGCUAUCAAAAUGAUUCGUUAACAAUUUAAGUCAGAGAAAGGAUAUGAAAUUCAUAGUGACCACAAGAAGAAAAUUAUAAAAACUAUUUCCAAGGAAAUACAUACAAUUUGGGCUGGAAAUUAAAUACAUUUGAGCCUGCAAUAAUUAAAGUGGGAAUUGUGCUUCUUUGGACAGUGGCAGUUACAAAGAUCAUCUCAGACUGUUAGUACUAAUCUAACAUAACCAAUAAAGCACCAAAAAGGUUUCAUUUAUUUGCUAAAUUAUUGUUUUAGUGGUUUAAUGUAUUGAAUAAAAAUGUGGCAUAAACCUUGGAAAUGCAAACAAUUAUUCUUACCUUUAAUUAACGCUGUAAUAUAAAGUAUUAUGACUGAAAUUAAGGAAUAAAUGAUGAACAAUCACAUAUAUAGCACAUAAAAUCUAUUUAGACAUUAACAUCAUUAUGAAAUACAUGUAAUACAUGAUUUAGACGAAUAUAAAGAACAGUAAAAUUAUGAAAGGCACAAGUUGGAAAAUACAAAACCGUCAGAUAUCAAAGUACCAAAGUAUCAAACGAACAAACCGACUAACUAAUAAGAAAAAAACAAAGUUCUGGAAUGUACUUCGAUCUAAUUCAAUAAUAAUUGCAAAGGUUAUUUAUCAUAGAGUUUGUUUAAACCUGUGUCGCUUUGGCAGAUUGCUUAGUGUAUAGCUCAGUGUUACGAUCGUUUGUUUAAGUACAUUGACUAGAGUUUUUGGUAAAAAAAA
rnacentral:lncRNA from 1 species